CAGAAAAAUUGGAAAAUGGGAAAAAAAUCACAAAGAAGAAAAUAAAACUCAAUCAUUAUGUCACCAAGCCAGAAACAAGCCCUGAUGAUCUAUGGAGGAAGAGGAAUAAUGCAGUACUGGGUUAUGAGUGAAUGGGACAAGACAUGAGUGCAGAGCGAAGCCCAGCUGUAUUCCUGUGGCCAGCAAAGACACCUUCUCGGCCGGUAUCAUCGGCCUAAAAGCAAUGGAGCCAGCCGACCACAGAUCGACGUCUUUGAAACCAUUAGACUACUGUAUUUCUCUGAGGCAUUUGUCACAGCGAACGAACACUGAAUGUACAGAGAAAAGGAAGCUACAUGUUGUCUGAUGGUUGUCAAGAUGCUAUAAAUAUGUUCUGGAAUGAUCAAUACUUUCCUAUCAUGUUACUUUUAACAAUCCAUACAAUUCCAUUCCAUGAAUGUACCCAAAAUUACAUUUCUUGUUUAUGAGUGUUUUCACUUGUAAUCAUUCCUCAUGUUUAUAGACUAGAAAUAAACUGUGGUUUAUCUAUGG
rnacentral:lncRNA from 1 species